AUUGAACGCUGGCGGCAGGCCUAACACAUGCCAGUCGAACGAGUGGCGGACGGGUGAGUAAUGUCUGGGAAACUGCCCGAUGGAGGGGGAUAACUACUGGAAACGGUAGCUAAUACCGCAUUUCAUCGGAUGUGCCCAGAUGGGAUUAGCUAGUAGGUGGGGUAACGGCACACCUAGGCGACGAGCCCUCGCUGGUCUGAGAGAAUGACCAGCCACACUGGAACGGAGACACGGGCCAGCAUCCAUCUGGAGGCAGCAGUGGGGAAUAUGGCACAAUGGGCGCAAGCCUGAUACAGCCAUGCCGCGUGUAUGAAGAGGGCCUUCGGGUUGUAAAGUACUUUCAGCGAGGAGGCGUUACUCGCAGAAGAAGCACCGGCUAACUCCGUGCCAGCAGCCGCGGUAAUUC
rnacentral:rRNA from 1 species